GCCCAUGUAGCUCAGUAGGUAGAGCACAUCCUUGGUAAGGAUGAGGUCACCGGUUCGAUCCCGGUCGUGGGCU
rnacentral:tRNA from 1 species